UACGGAGGGUGCAAGCGUUAUCCGGAUUCACUGGGUUUAAAGGGUGCGUAGGUGGGUUGGUAAGUCAGUGGUGAAAUCUCCGUGCUUAACAUGGAAACUGCCAUUGAUACUACUGAUCUUGAAUUUUCUGGAGGUAAGCGGAAUAUGUCAUGUAGCGGUGAAAUGCUUAGAUAUGACAUAGAACACCAAUUGCGAAGGCAGCUUACUACAGGGACAUUGACACUGAGGCACGAAAGCGUGGGGAGCAAACAGG
rnacentral:rRNA from 1 species